GACGAACGCUGGCGGCGUGCUUAACACAUGCAAGUCGAACGGAAAGGCCCUGCUUUUGUGGUGUGCUCGAUUGCCGAACGGGUGAGUAACACGUGAGUAACCUGCCCUUGACUUUGGGAUAACUUCAGGAAACUGGGGCUAAUACCGGAUAGGAUCUCCCGCUGCAUUGUGGGGGUUGGAACGUUUCGGCGGUUGGGGAUGGACUCGCGGGUUAUCAGCUUGUUGGUGGGGUAGUGGCUUACCAAGGCUUUGACGGGUAGCCGGCCUGAGAGGGUGACCGGCCACAUUGGGACUGAGAUACGGCCCAGACUCCUACGGGAGGCAGCAGUGGGGAAUAUUGCACAAUGGGCGGAAGCCUGAUGCAGCAACGCCGCGUGCGGGAUGACGGCCUUCGGGUUGUAAACCGCUUUCGCCUGCGACGAAGCGUGAGUGACGGUAAUGGGUAAAGAAGCACCGGCUAACUACGUG
rnacentral:rRNA from 1 species